ACACCAAAGUCCUUUGGCAACACAUUUCAUUCGCGCCUGUAUCUUGCUGAACCGCUGCCAUUAUGGCCAACGAUCCGGUUGAGCAAAAUUUCAGGUGUGUGAGAAAUGUGUUUAGCAUUCAUCGGAGAAUUU
rnacentral:pre_miRNA from 15 species